ACCAGGCGUGGUGGUGCGCGCCUGUAAUCCCAGCUACUUGGGAGGCUGAGGCAGAAGAAUCGCUUGAACCCAGGAGGCGGAGGAUGCAGUGAGCCGAGAUCAUGCCAUUGCACUCUAGCCUGGGUGACAGAGCGAGACUCCGUCUCUA
rnacentral:SRP_RNA from 1 species